GAUGAAGAACGUAGCGAAAUGCGAUACUUGGUGUGAAUUGCAGAAUCCCGUGAACCAUCGAGUCUUUGAACGCAAGUUGCGCCUCAAGCCAUUAGGUUGAGGGCACGUCUGCCUGGGCGUCACAUAUCGUUGCCUGAUGCCAGUUUCCUCGUGAUGGGUGACUGUGCAGGGCGAAUGAUGGCUUCCCGUGAGCAUUGUUGCCUCAUGGUUGGUUGAAAAUUGAGUCCUUGGUAGGGAGCGCCGUGAUAGAUGGUGGUUGAGUGACGAACGAGACCCAAUCAUGUGAGACCCCUACCGAAUUUGGCCUUCAUGACCCACAUGCGUCUUUGGAACGCUUAUGACGAGACCUCAGGUCAGGCGGGGCUACCCGCUGAGUUUAAGCAUAUCAAUAAGCGGAGGA
rnacentral:misc_RNA from 1 species